rnacentral:rRNA from 1 species
GUGGGGAAUUUUGGACAAUGGGCGCAAGCCUGAUCCAGCAAUGCCGCGUGCAGGAAGAAGGCCUUCGGGUUGUAAACUGCUUUUGUACGGAACGAAACGGUCCUGGUUAAUACCUGGGGCUAAUGACGGUACCGUAAGAAUAAGCACCGGCUAACUACGUGCCAGCAGCCGCGGUAAUACGUAGGGUGCAAGCGUUAAUCGGAAUUGCUGGGCGUAAAGCGUGCGCAGGCGGUUUUGUAAGACAGGCGUGAAAUCCCCGGGCUCAACCUGGGAAUUGCGCUUGUGACUGCAGUGCUGGAGUGCGGCAGAGGGGGAUGGAAUUCCGCGUGUAGCAGUGAAAUGCGUAGAUAUGCGGAGGAACACCGAUGGCGAAGGCAAUCCCCUGGGCCUGCACUGACGCUCAUGCACGAAAGCGUGGGGAGCAAACAGGAUUAGAAACCCCAGUAGUCC